UACGGGGGGGGCAAGCGUUGUUCGGAAUUAUUGGGCGUAAAGGGCGCGUAGGCGGCCUGGCAAGUCAAAGGUGAAAUCCCUCGGCUCAACUGAGGAACUGCCUUUGAAACUGCCAGGCUUGAGGCCGGGAGGGGGUAGCGGAAUUCCCAGUGUAGCGGUGAAAUGCGUAGAUAUUGGGAGGAACACCAGUGGCGAAGGCGGCUACCUGGACCGGUUCUGACGCUGAUGCGCGAAAGCGUGGGUAGCAAACAGG
rnacentral:rRNA from 1 species